CGUUGGGCAGAUUUAACUGUUCAGUGGCACAGCUAANCGCAUUAAGUUGUCCGCCUGGGGAGUACGNCCGCAAGGCUAAAACUCAAAUGAAUUGACGGGGGCCCGCACAAGUGGUGGAGCAUGUGGUUUAAUUCGAUGCAACGCGAAGAACCUUACCAAUCCUUGAAAUCUAGCGAAGUUCGCAGAGAUGUGAAUGUGCCUUCGGGAACGCUAUGACAGGUGUUGCAUGGCUGUCGUCAGCUCGUGUCGUGAGAUGUAUGGUUAAGUCCAGUAACGAGCGCAACCCCUAUCCUUAUUUGCCAGCGCGUAAUGGCGGGAACUAUAGGGAGACUGCCGGGUGAAACCCGGAGGAAGGCGGGGACGAGGUCAAGUCAUCAUGGCCCUUAUGGAUUGGGCUACACACGUGCUACAAUGGGAAGUACAGAGGGAUGCGAAAGCGCGAGCUGGAGCCAAACCCUUAAAACUUUUCUUAGUCCGGAUUGGAGUCUGCAACUCGACUCCAUGAAGUUGGAAUCACUAGUAAUCGCGAAUCAGAAUGUCGCGGUGAAUACGUUCUCGGGCCUUGUACACACCGCCCGUCACAUCAUGGAAGUGGGUUGCACCAGAAGUGGUUAGUCUAACCUUCGGGAAGACGAUCACCACGGUGUGAUUCAUGACUGGGAUGAAGUCGUAACAAGGUA
rnacentral:rRNA from 1 species